UACGUAGGGGCCAAGCGUUGUCCGGAUUUACUGGGCGUAAAGAGCGCGCAGGCGGUCGUGCAAGUCGCGUGUGAAAGCCCCCGGCUCAACUGGGGAGGGUCACGCGAUACUGCUCGACUCGAAGGCAGGAGAGGGAAGUGGAAUUCCCGGUGUAGUGGUGAAAUGCGUAGAUAUCGGGAGGAACACCAGUGGCGGAAGGCGACUUCCUGGCCCUGUUCUUGACGCUGAGGCGCGAAAGCUAGGGUAGCAAACGGG
rnacentral:rRNA from 1 species